rnacentral:rRNA from 1 species
UGAGCCAGCAUCUUCGGUGAGGCUCUGGGUCACCUCCCACCCGUGUUUAUUUUACCUUGUUGCUUCGGCGGGCCCGCCUUAACUGGCCGCCGGGGGGCUUACGCCCCCGGGCCCGCGCCCGCCGAAGACACCCUCGAACUCUGUCUGAAGAUUGUAGUCUGAGUGAAAAUAUAAAUUAUUUAAAACUUUCAACAACGGAUCUCUUGGUUCCGGCAUCGAUGAAGAACGCAGCGAAAUGCGAUACGUAAUGUGAAUUGCAAAUUCAGUGAAUCAUCGAGUCUUUGAACGCACAUUGCGCCCCCUGGUAUUCCGGGGGGCAUGCCUGUCCGAGCGUCAUUUCUGCCCUCAAGCACGGCUUGUGUGUUGGGCCCCGUCCUCCGAUCCCGGGGGACGGGCCCGAAAGGCAGCGGCGGCACCGCGUCCGGUCCUCGAGCGUAUGGGGCUUUGUCACCCGCUCUGUAGGCCCGGCCGGCGCUUGCCGAUCAACCCAAAUUUUUAUCCAGGUUGACCUCGGAUCAGGUAGGGAUACCCGCUGAACUUAAGCAUAUCAAUAAGCGGAGGAAGACCCCGUGAAGGGCCUCUGGGUCAAGCUCCCCCCGUGUUUAUUUUUACUUGUUGGUUUCGGAGGGCCCUCAUU